rnacentral:rRNA from 1 species
AAUCAACGCUGGCGGCGUGCCUCAGACAUGCAAGUACGAACGCGAAAGUCCCUUCGGGGGAUGAGUAGAGUGGCGUCCGGGUGAGUAACACGUAGGUAAUCUACCUUUGGGUGGGGAAUAACCCGAGAAAUCGGGGCUAAUACCGCAUAAUGCAGCGGGCACCGACAUGGUGACAGUUGUUAAAGCGGGGGAUCGCAAGACCUCGCGCCUAAAGAGGAGCCUGCGGCGGAUUAGCAGUUGGUAGGGUAACGGCCUACCAAGGCAACGAUCCGUAGCCGGCCUGAGAGGGCGGUCGGCCGACACUGACACUGAAAUACGGGUCAGGACUCCUACGGGAGGC